CUCAGCUGAAGAGUCCCAAAUAGGACGAAAUGCGCAUCCUUGAU
rnacentral:hammerhead_ribozyme from 1 species